CCUACGGAAGGCAGCAGUGGGGAAUAUUGGACAAUGGGGGCAACCCUGAUCCAGCCAUGCCGCGUGUGUGAAGAAGGCCCUCGGGUUGUAAAGCACUUUCAGUGAGGAAGAACGCCUGGUGGUUAAUACCCAUCAGGAAAGACAUCACUCACAGAAGAAGCACCGGCUAACUCCGUGCCAGCAGCCGCGGUAAUACGGAGGGUGCGAGCGUUAAUCGGAAUUACUGGGCGUAAAGCGCGCGUAGGUGGCUUGAUAAGCCGGUUGUGAAAGCCCCGGGCUCAACCUGGGAACGGCAUCCGGAACUGUCAAGCUAGAGUGCAGGAGAGGAAGGUAGAAUUCCCGGUGUAGCGGUGAAAUGCGUAGAGAUCGGGAGGAAUACCAGUGGCGAAGGCGGCCUUCUGGACUGACACUGACACUGAGGUGCGAAAGCGUGGGUAGCAAACAGGAUUAGAUACCCCGGUAGUC
rnacentral:rRNA from 1 species